UACGGAGGGGGUUAGCGUUGUUCGGAAUGACUGGGCGGAAAGCGCGCGUAGGCGGAUCAUCAAGUCGGGGGUGAAAUCCCGGGGCUCAACCCCGGAAUGGCCUUCGAGACUGGUGGUCUUGAGUUCGAGAGAGGUGAGUGGAAUUCCGAGUGUAGAGGUGAAAUUCGUAGAUAUUCGGAGGAACACCAGUGGCGAAGGCGGCUCACUGGCUCGACACUGACGCUGAGGUGCGAAAGCGUGGGGAGCAAACAGG
rnacentral:rRNA from 1 species